rnacentral:lncRNA from 1 species
UCUCCCUUCUUCCCUCCUUGUCUCUCUUCCUCCAUCCCUCCCUCUUGCUCUCUCUAUCUCUGUGUCAGCCUUACUGUUUACCAGGACCGAGUUAUACCUAACACUGUAUUAGACACUCAGUACUAUGUUUAUUAACUCUUUCCUCUCACCGAGAUUAAAAUAAACAGGGGCGGGGAUAUUGUUAAGUUAAAUUCUGGAUCAUGGGUUUUAGUGCAUAACUCGGCAGAUAAUAGGUGCUCUAUAAAUGGAAGGGUCAAAUAAUUUUCCCUCCAAACUGGGACAUGUCGGGGAAUGAAGUGGCGUCAAUAAUUACAGCAGGACAACAGGAAUGAAGUGAGAUUUAUGGUUUUACUUUAAAAAAAUAUCUUCUGAAGACAGAAAUGAGGGGCUUAAAAGGAAAGGUGUACUGAUUAGGUUUACAUUUUUAACAGAUUAUUGUGAGUAGAGUCUUACCAUGGAUUACAGAGAGAAAGGAUCUGCUAUCUUACUGAUAAUUUUUUGCAAUAUACCAGAAAAGAGAUUAUAUCAUUCUACAAUUCUAAUUGAGUUUUUUUGAAAAAUUUAGAAAGUAUUUUCUUUGAGUUUGAAUAAUUUCUUUCAAUAGCUAUAUCUGCACCUUCUAAGGCCAAAGCAAGAAGUGAAUACAGCAGUGCAAAAUAUUAACGUCGACAUUAGUCUUCACUUCAUGGAGUAUUCAAUUUAGUGAGGAAAACAGUACGAAAAGAAAUAGAUAAUAAUACACAUACAAUUAAAAAUUAAAAAUAUUAACACAGAGAAAAUGUAAUAUUAUUUUGAUUGCUGGAUUAGGGAAGGGCACUCUGUGGAGAUGGUAUUUUGUAGGAAAUCUGAAAGGUGCUCAAGAAUUAUUCAAAAGUUGAGAAUCUGUAGGUGGAUUCAGGAGGGUGGAUGGAUUGCUCACUGAUAUAUGAGUGUGGGGUGGCAGGGUGUCCAGAAUGACACUCAGGGGUAGGCAGGAAAUUAGUACCAACAAGUAAGUUUAGGGGACCUUGACAGAGGGGUGAAUUAUUUGGAGAACUGGUUGGUUCAACUUGGCACCUGCUCAAUGUGAGUUGAGAUUUGUCACUGGUGUAGGGAGUGGGCAGAUGAGUAUUUGGGUCUCAGGGUUGAAGUAGGGUCUAUGCUAAUUCUAUGGGCAUUUCUAGUGCACUAAUGGUAUGUGAAGCCAUUGGGAAGGGGGUGUGAAUGUGGAAUAAAUGUGAGAGCAAGAUUGACUUCUAAGGAGCAUCAAUUGUUGUGUUAGGUCAGAUGGUGGAGCUGAGAUUAACAAGGAGAGUUGGAAGAGAGAAGGAAGAGAGUCGGGGAGGAAAGAUGGUUGUUUACUGGGGAUGGGUCUGUGUGAUGGGAAUGCGGUGGGUCUGAGUUACUUAUUUAUGAACAGGAGAAUAUCAGAGUGAAGAUGGGACUUGGGUGUGGAAGUGGAGUGGAGCAUGUAAGGGCUGAGAGGUGUGUGAUUUCACUGGAGAUGAGGCACUAAAGGAGCUGUGAAAACUCGGUGAUCGUGUGCCUACAGCAGAGCACAGAGAGACGCUGAAGACCUGAAAUUUUGGGAUACUAAGAUGCCUGUUUUCUCUGUAUGCAAACGACAGUGGGUGGGGGGUACCAACAUGUGUGUAAUUGACAGUGACAAGGGUGGGAAGAGGGAACAUCCUCAGAGGAGGACAGUGGAGGGAAAUGGUCUGGAGUUGGCACUGGGUAAUGACCUGAGCUUUCUGUCCUUGACUCCUAUCAGCUCGAUGUCCCCAAAUCUAGUUCUCCACAUGUGGUGCCUGUGCCAGCAGCAGCAGCAGCAUCUGGGACCAUGUAGAAGUGCAAAUUCUUGGCCCCACCUGCAACCUAGUUGAGUUUAAGUCCAUAAAUCUGAGUUUUAACAACCAUCCAGAUGAUUAUGAUGCAGAGAGUAACAUGAGACACAUUUCUCCAGGAAGAGAAGAGGGUGGAAGAUCCAAAUGAGCUGAGAACAUUCUGCCUGGCUGGCAGUCUGCAUCCCUCAUUUUAUUCAAGUUUCACAUUUCAUUUUGUUUUCAAAGUGGAGCUCAAAAGAAAUAUGAUGCCCCAGGAUUCAGAGAAGAAAGGACAAGUUCAUUUAGCCAACUCCCAAGGGCGGACUCAUUGGGAAAGGUCUGCCCUUCCUAUGAGACUCACCAGCUGCAUUUCCAGAGGCCAUCACAAUGAUAACUUCCCAUCCUGGCAAUGAGGUCAGGUACAGUCAACGGCAGGAGACCUGGCAGAAGCCCCAGCGAGUCUGUGCAUCCAGGAGACUGCAGCAUCUCCAGGCCUGCAGCACCGAAGGAGAACUUUUAAGUCUUCAAUAUCACAAAUACCUUAAAAAUAAUGGCACCUCAUAAUCCAGGUGGAUCCCUGGGCCACAAUGAUGCUGGGUCUCUACACACCAGCCCAGAGCCCACUGCUGCACGGUCUUCAGAUUGGGCAGAGAUGAUCUCAGGAGCAGGUCUAUGUCUUCCACAGUCGGUUUGUACACAGCCAGUAACUUAGGGAGAUAUCCUCAGACAGAGUCAGGAAGUUAAAAAGCCAAGGGAGGGACUGGCUGAGGCCCUGAGGGCAGACAGACUUGCCAGGGAGGCAGAGAGGGAGGAGCCAAGAAGGCUGUUCUGAGAACUGAAUGGAAAGAGAAGCUUGUGCUGAAGAAGCCAAGAGGUGUGGCCCUGGGCAAGUGGCUCCCUUGAGCAGCCCUCAGUUUCACUCACCUCUUUUAAUGUCAAUC